GCUGGGGAUUAUCUCAGGACAGUGCUUCAGCAGCAAUAGUUUGGUAAGGAGCUUCUUGAAGAAUGGACCCAGAGGCCUGGCUAGGAGAGUUGAGGGUUAAGACACAAACCAACAAAAGCAGGAAUACUCGGAGUUUUAGGAGAAGGACUCUGACAUGCUGUAUUAGAUAGAAGGCAGUAUCAAUAGGAAUGACCAGCAAAGAUUUAAAGAAAAUUUCAAUGCCUAAGGCUGGGAGAAGAUAAGGGAGCCUUGCUUUUAUCCUAUCAUGGUGUGUAUGUCUCUAAGCUUGUGUGUCUAAUGGCUGACUGUAUAAGUAAGGGGACUCUGCUUAUGAAAACUGGCAUCAUCCAGCCAGUAUCUGACUUGUAUGGAUAGAGGCACCUUAAGCAGACACCUGAUGCUCCCUUCACAGAUAAAGGCUCUGAUCCUGCAGUAAUUAGUCUCGCUGAUUUCUGAGGGCCAGUUUUUAUGAUCAGGCCCAAAAUUCAGACUUAAGUGGCAUUUGUUAACGGCUCAAUGGGCUCAAGUGAGAAUUAAGGAUGGAGAGGGCUUAUGUAGCCUGCAUACUUGAAGAUGUGCAAGAUGCAAUUCCCAUGGUGGAAAAUGGAAAGAUUCUCCUUGACUUUAGUGGGAGUUAGAUGGGACCCCCAAAAAAUUUCACAGUGGGGGGGGAAAAGGGCAAUUUCAGAAAUGCCAAGUGUAUUUGCACUUCUAGAUCUCUUAAACUUGUGCUCCAAAUGAUUUUAGUCAUUUUGAAAAUAUCCCUGGGAAAACAGCAGUAAGAGCUCUAGAGUCUACUGGUCUGGCAUCCAAUCACAAAGUGGUAUUCUCCCAAGAAUGUGUCUGUGAUGUGGUUUUCUGUGAUAGAGUGACACACAUGGUGAGCUUGGGAAAACU